rnacentral:rRNA from 1 species
UACGUAGGGGGGCUAGCGUUGUCCGGAAUCAUUGGGCGUAAAGCGCGCGUAGGCGGCCCGGUAAGUCCGCUGUAAAAGUCAAAGGCUCAACCUUUGAAUGUCAGUGGAUACUGCCGGGCUAGAGUCCGGAAGAGGCGAGUGGAACUCCUGGUGUAGCGGUGGAAUGCGCAGAUAUCAGGAAGAACACCGACGGCGAAGGCAGCUCGCUGGGACGGUACUGACGCUGAGGCGCGAAAGCGUGGGGAGCGAACGGG